UUCAGCAACGGAUCUCUUGGCUCUCGCAUCGAUGAAGAACGCAGCGAAAUGCGAUAAGUAAUGUGAAUUGCAGAAUUCAGUGAAUCAUCGAAUCUUUGAACGCACCUUGCGCUCCUUGGUAUUCCGAGGAGCAUGCCUGUUUGAGUGUCAUGAAAU
rnacentral:rRNA from 3 species